rnacentral:rRNA from 1 species
GAUGAACGCUGGCGGCGUGCCUAAUACAUGCAAGUCGAGCGAACAGACGAGGAUCUUGCUCCUCUCACGUUAGCGGCGGACGGGUGAGUAACACGUGGCUAACCUACCUAUAAGACUGGGCUAACUUCGGGAAACCGGAGCUAAUACCGGAUAACCUUUUGGACCGCAUGGUUCAAGAGUGAAAGACGGUUUUGCUGUCACUUAUCGAUGGAUCCGCGCCGCAUUGGCGGGGUGGUAAGGUAACGGCUUACCAAGGCAGCGAUGCGUAGCCGACCGUAGAGGGGGAUCGCCCACUGUGGAGCUGAGCCGCGGCCCAGAGUCCUAGGGGAGGCAGCAGCAGCGAAUCGUCGGCGAUGGGGGAAAGCCUGACGGAGGAGCGCCGCGCGAGUGAAGAAGGUCUGCGGAUCGUAAGACGGUGUUAGGAGUGAAAACCGAAUGUGUAAGUAACGAUGCUCUGCGUGACGGUAGUGAGUCAGAAAGCAACGGCUAACUACGUG